AUUGAACGCUGGCGGCAGGCUUAACACAUGCAAGUCGAGCGGGGAAAGGUAGCUUGCUACCUGACCUAGCGGCGGACGGGUGAGUAAUGCUUAGGAAUCUGCCUAUUAGUGGGGGACAACAUUCCGAAAGGAAUGCUAAUACCGCAUACGCCCUACGGGGGAAAGCAGGGGAUCUUCGGACCUUGCGCUGAUAGAUGAGCCUAAGUCAGAUUAGCUAGGUGGGGGGGUAAAGGCCUACCAAGGCGACGAUCUGUAGCGGGUCUGAGAGGAUGAUCCGCCACGCUGGGACUGAGACACGGCCCAGACUCCUACGGGAGGCAGCAGUGGGGAAUAUUGGACAAUGGGCGAAAGCCUGAUCAGCCAUGCCGCGUGUGUGAAGAAGGCCUUUUGGUUGUAAAGCACUUUAAGCGAGGAGGAGGCUACCGAGAUUAAUACUCUUGGAUAGUGGACGUUACUCGCAGAAUAAGCACCGGCUAACUCUGUGCCAGCCGCCGCCGUAA
rnacentral:rRNA from 1 species